GAUGAACGCUGGCGGCGUGCCUAAUACAUGCAAGUCGAGCGAACGGACGAGAAGCUUGCUUCUCUGAUGUUAGCGGCGGACGGGUGAGUAACACGUGGAUAACCUACCUAUAAGACUGGGAUAACUUCGGGAAACCGGAGCUAAUACCGGAUAAUAUUUUGAACCGCAUGGUUCAAAAGUGAAAGACGGUCUUGCUGUCACUUAUAGAUGGAUCCGCGCUGCAUUAGCUAGUUGGUAAGGUAACGGCUUACCAAGGCAACGAUGCAUAGCCGACCUGAGAGGGUGAUCGGCCACACUGGAACUGAGACACGGUCCAGACUCCUACGGGAGGCAGCAGUAGGGAAUCUUCCGCAAUGGGCGAAAGCCUGACGGAGCAACGCCGCGUGAGUGAUGAAGGUCUUCGGAUCGUAAAACUCUGUUAUUAGGGAAGAACAUAUGUGUAAGUAACUGUGCACAUCUUGACGGUACCUAAUCAGAAAGCCACGGCUAACUACGUGCCAGCAGCCGCGGUAAUACGUAGGUGGCAAGCGUUAUCCGGAAUUAUUGGGCGUAAAGCGCGCGUAGGCGGUUUUUUAAGUCUGAUGUGAAAGCCCACGGCUCAACCGUGGAGGGUCAUUGGAAACUGGAAAACUUGAGUGCAGAAGAGGAAAGUGGAAUUCCAUGUGUAGCGGUGAAAUGCGCAGAGAUAUGGAGGAACACCAGUGGCGAAGGCGACUUUCUGGUCUGUAACUGACGCUGAUGUGCGAAAGCGUGGGGAUCAAACAGGAUUAGAUACCCUGGUAGUCCACGCCGUAAACGAUGAGUGCUAAGUGUUAGGGGGUUUCCGCCCCUUAGUGCUGCAGCUAACGCAUUAAGCACUCCGCCUGGGGAGUACGACCGCAAGGUUGAAACUCAAAGGAAUUGACGGGGACCCGCACAAGCGGUGGAGCACGUGGUUUAAUUCGAAGCAACGCGAAGAACCUUACCAAAUCUUGACAUCCUUUGACAACUCUAGAGAUAGAGCUUUCCCCUUCGGGGGACAAAGUGACAGGUGGUGCAUGGUUGUCGUCAGCUCGUGUCGUGAGAUGUUGGGUUAAGUCCCGCAACGAGCGCAACCCUUAAGCUUAGUUGCCAUCAUUAAGUUGGGCACUCUAAGUUGACUGCCGGUGACAAACCGGAGGAAGGUGGGGAUGACGUCAAAUCAUCAUGCCCCUUAUGAUUUGGGCUACACACGUGCUACAAUGGACAAUACAAAGGGCAGCGAAACCGCGAGGUCAAGCAAAUCCCAUAAAGUUGUUCUCAGUUCGGAUUGUAGUCUGCAACUCGACUACAUGAAGCUGGAAUCGCUAGUAAUCGUAGAUCAGCAUGCUACGGUGAAUACGUUCCCGGGUCU
rnacentral:rRNA from 1 species